rnacentral:rRNA from 1 species
GACGAACGCUGGCGGCGUGCUUAACACAUGCAAGUCGAACGGUAAGGCCCUUCGGGGUACACGAGUGGCGAACGGGUGAGUAACACGUGGGUGAUCUGCCCUGCCCUUCGGGAUAAGCCUGGGAAACUGGGUCUAAUACCGGAUAUGACCCUGGUAUGCCUGUCCUUGGGUGGAAAGCUUUUGCGGCGUGGGAUGGGCCCGCGGCCUAUCAGCUUGUUGGUGGGGUGAUGGCCUACCAAGGCGACGACGGGUAGCCGGCCUGAGAGGGUGACCGGCCACACUGGGACUGAGAUACGGCCCAGACUCCUACGGGAGGCAGCAGUGGGGAAUAUUGCACAAUGGGCGCAAGCCUGAUGCAGCGACGCCGCGUGAGGGAUGACGGCCUUCGGGUUGUAAACCUCUUUCAGCACCGACGAAGCGCAAGUGACGGUAGGUGCAGAAGAAGGACCGGCCAACUACGUGCCAGCCGCCGCGGUAA